rnacentral:lncRNA from 1 species
AUGUGUAUUCAUAGCUCCUGCUUCCCAGUAAAUCUUCUCCUUGCCUUUUCAGGUGAGGCAUCAAACAUUGAGUCCUCAUGUUCAAGUCGAUGUUCAGCCGACGCAUUUGACCCCGCUGUUUGCAACCCGACCGCCACCCUGGAUCCUGCCACGCGGCUUGGAAACAUAAGAAGGCGUAAGGAGAAAUCAGCCAAAGGGGAAUCUCUGGUGCAUGCGAUGCUCCGUUGCGCCAGCAGAGACUCCCGUGAAAUGGUGGAUGAAAUGCGGCGGCUUUCCAGGGAGGACAACAAAGUGUUUGCUGAGAUGAGGGACACGAUGGCCCAGGAAGCCGCCAGCUUGGAACGGUACCGGGAACAACUUCUGGCCAGAAUUGAUCGUAACACAGACAUCUUUGCAGACCUUGCCAAGGAAAUGACCUCCAUGGUGAGGCGUCUCAGCGAGGGAGAGGGCUCCAGCAAUGAGAACGGCACAAAAGACAGGACGGAGGAUGAGCAACCAGGGCUUGCCGUGACUGCGGCCACGAAAAGAAAGCCGGGAGCUCCUUUCCGUCCUGGGGUGGUGGGGCAUAAGUGGCCAAAAUGGGGUUCCCUUGCCAAUAAGGGUCAACAUUGCCCUACAAAAAGGAGGAACAUUGCCGUCACCGGGAUGUCUGGAAGGGAAGGAAUGUCUGUGCAGAACAGAGAACAAGUGGCUGAAUCGCCUUCCACCAGGGUCCACGAGUCGUAUGCAAUGGUUACGGGGGAGGAGGGGCAGUGCACUAAGAGCAGAGCCCAGCCAAGCCCAGCAUCAUCAUCAUUAUCAUCCUCGACUCCUGAGAAACGUACCCGCCGGCCAGCAAAAACAUUCUCCCCUUGCUAGAGAACCAAGCUUUUGCAUAGGCAAGAAUUACGAUGGCUUAUGCUAGAGUUGCGCCUACAUUUUAUAUCCCGAGUGCAGAAAUAUUGUUGUUUUCAGUAAGCAUCCAUGUUGGCCUGGAGUGUGUCCUUAAUAAAGAGAUGGCUUUCUUUUGAAGUUUGUGGCA